rnacentral:rRNA from 1 species
CCUACGGGAGGCAGCAGUGGGGAAUAUUGCACAAUGGGGGAAACCCUGAUGCAGCGACGCCGCGUGAGUGAAGAAGUAAUUCGUUAUGUAAAGCUCUAUCAGCAGGGAAGAAAAUGACGGUACCUGAGUAAGAAGCCCCGGCUAACUACGUGCCAGCAGCCGCGGUAAUACGUAGGGGGCAAGCGUUAUCCGGAUUUACUGGGGGGAAAGGGAGCGUAGACGGCAGGGCAAGUCUGGAGUGAAAGGCGGGGGCUCAACCCCCGGACUGCUCUGGAAACUGUACGGCUGGAGUGCAGGAGAGGUAAGUGGAAUUCCUAGUGUAGCGGUGAAAUGCGUAGAUAUUAGGAGGAACACCAGUGGCGAAGGCGGCUUACUGGACUGUAACUGACGUUGAGGCUCGAAAGCGUGGGGAGCAAACAGGAUUAGAUACCCGAGUAGUC